GGGGGAUUAGCUCAGUUGGGAGAGCGCCUGCCUUGCAAGCAGGAGGUCAGCGGUUCAACUCCGCUAUCCUCCA
rnacentral:tRNA from 3 species